GCUGGGUGCGGUGGCGUGCACCUGUAAUCCCAGCUACUUGGGAGGCUGAGGCAGGAGAAUCGCUUGAACCCAGGAGGCAGAGGUUGCAGUGAGCCAAGAUCACGCCACUGCACUCCAGCCUGGGUGACAGAGUGAGACUUCAUCUCAA
rnacentral:SRP_RNA from 1 species